CAAGCGAGAAAUCUCAGCGCGAGAGCAGGAUCCUGAUAAAUGCCGCUUUGCAAGCAGCGAUCGCUGAACGACGGCGUUUGCUGAAGCUCGGGCGGUAUUGCAGGGCGGGCUUUCCCCUGUUUUGAACAGCUGCCCGUCGUGCCUGAAAGCUGUAGGCUAGAGAGUAGAGAACGCCUCGCCCGGUACCUUCAGCGUGACUUUCGGCGAUGUCUGCCUAGCCUUGUCCGACUCCGUACGUGCGUUUUGCAGGUCGGGUAGGAAGGCUGAGCUGUGCGUUGAGACAUCCCGGUUUUUUGUGCUGCUCGCGGAGAUCAAAACUGUGAGUGCGUGAGAGGCAGUGCUGUCAGCGAGCGAAGGGCCUGUGACCCAGCGCUGUCCCAUCGGCCGCUGUAACCGCUGAAGUGUAUCAAACGUUUUCUAUUCCUUAUUAGCACUUACGGACACUGCAUGUGCACUGCCGGAGCUUGGCGUGAGGGCGCAGUGUUGUAAGGCAGCUGAAUCGCUGUCCAAGCUGUAGGAAGCCGGGCAGCACCGAAGUGCUAGAGUGCUUUUUGCCGUGAUAGAUGAGGGAUAUCCUGACAAGCUAUUUCAGAGUGCAGAUAUAGACUGCAAAGAUGGCCCCUGUAGUAUCACAGGAAGAAGCAGCAGGAGAAUGAAGUGCAGACAAAAUACACAGAAUGGAACCAAAUUCAGACGAAGAUAAACUUUUCAGACCGUCCUAUGUAGCUAGUGUGGAGCUACCUGAAAGAACAGGACUAGUAAACGUGGAAGAUAUUAAAACAAAUCUCUCUGAUGAGUUUAGUUCAGCUUCUUCAAGCUCAGACAUGAGCCGGAGGUCUAGUUUGGAGCCUAGGGGACACAUACAAGUUUGCCUGCGCAUUAAGCCCUUUACAGCACUGGAAAGAGCAAAUGGAUUGCAGGUACCACAUCUACUUUAUCUUAAAAAAACAAACAAAAAAAAAA